rnacentral:rRNA from 1 species
AUUGAACGCUGGCGGCAGGCCUAACACAUGCAAGUCGAACGGCAGCGGGGGGUAGCUUGCUACCCCCCGGCGAGUGGCGGACGGGUGAGUAAUGCCUGGGGAGCUGCCCAAUCGAGGGGGAUACCAGUUGGAAACGACUGCUAAUACCGCAUACGCCCUGAGGGGGAAAGGUGGGGAUCUUCGGACCUACCGCGAUUGGAUGCACCCAGGUGGGAUUAGCUAGUUGGUGAGGUAACGGCUCACCAAGGCGACGAUCUCUAGCUGGUCUGAGAGGAUGACCAGCCACACUGGAACGGAGACACGGUCCAGACUCCUACGGGAGGCAGCAGUGGGGAAUAUUGCACAAUGGGGGAAACCCUGAUGCAGCCAUGCCGCGUGUGUGAAGAAGGCCUUAGGGUUGUAAAGCACUUUCAGUGGGGAGGAAAGGGUGGAAGCUAAUACCUUUCAUCUGUGACGUUACCCACAGAAGAAGCACCGGCUAACUCCGUGCCAGCCGCCGCAGUAA